AUUGAACGCUAGCGGGAUGCUUUACACAUGCAAGUCGAACGGAGUGGCGAACGGGUGAGUAAUGUAUCGGAACGUGCCCUGCAGCGGGGGAUAACUACACGAAAGCGUAGCUAAUACCGCAUACUAUUGGAGCGGCCGAUAUCGGAUUAGCUAGUUGGUGAGGUAACGGCUCACCAAGGCGACGAUCCGUAGCUGGUUUGAGAGGACGACCAGCCACACUGGGACUGCGACACGGCCCAGACUCCUACGGGAGGCAGCAGUGGGGAAUUUUGGACAAUGGGGGCAACCCUGAUCCAGCCAUCCCGCGUGUGCGAUGAAGGCCUUCGGGUUGUAAAGCACUUUUGGCAGGAAAGCGGUACCUGCAGAAUAAGCACCGGCUAACUACGUGCCAGCAGCCGCGGUAAUAC
rnacentral:rRNA from 1 species